GCAGCUCAUUGUGGGGGUUCCUGGGGUCACAGUUCUGCUAGUUCUUCUUGUUGGCUUGGUGCUGUUGUGCCGGAGAAUCUGCAGAAAACUAGAUAACCACAGACAGGCUCAUGAGCACAUGUUUUACUCAAUGGUUAACCUGAAAGACAGAAAAUCAGCCAAUCCUUUUCUAGAAGAUGCAUUUUAUGACACCAUCAGUUCAGCAAUGGAAACACAAUGUGACCCAACAGAAGCUAACAGUGACGAGUUUUAUUCUACUUUCAAAUAAAGAAGAAACCCCAAGG